AGGGCGGGGUUGCCCUUGUCGUCUCACAACCGCUGUGAGCUAUGAGGCUCUCAGUGCAGAGGCCCGGCGCUCAAUAGACACGAGUUAUUAUUAUUAUUGGAAUUAUCUCUGUUACCGCUAUUAUUAACUCCAAGCCAUCGUCAUGAUCUGCUGUGCGCUUGGCAAGCGGACUCCUCCAAUGAGGGGAAACUACAGAAAAAGGCAAAGCCAGUUUCCCUUUCUCCAAGCAGCGUAUCUCGGUUCAGUCCUUUUUGAAACGUCAUCACCACCUUAAUUACCUUAAAAACAUAAUCAUUUUUAUCAAAGACCUCCGUGUGGGGAAGAGAUUUGUUUUUUCUGGAGGAGCCUGGGGAGGCGGGGCCUGAAGGCCUGGGGCGGGGCCUUGGGGAAGCGGCUGCACCAGCUUCCCUGCAGCCCUGCUGGGGUUUCUGGCCUUGUGUCCAGUGCCCUAAACUGUCCCAGUUCCGGGGCGCACAUCAACCACAGAAGAGUGGAUAAGAAAUCGGACAGCUGGCACCCUGACACGCCAUGGCCGGAAGUGAAACGGUCCUGACGACGCAGGACGCACCCAGGAGAGCAGGAGCCAGCAGUUCCCGCCCUCCUGGCUGCCUCCAGGGCUCUCUGUGCCCCCUUCCUGGAGGUCACCUUUCCCUGCAUCUCUGCGGGCUCCUAGCUCCUCAGAGACGCUUUCUCCGGUCAUCUGAUCCUCGAUGCGUACCAGGGACUCAAAGAAACCAGGAUGUCUGCCAAAACUUAAAGGACACCAGGAGGGUCCCCAAAGCGACAGACUUCUCUGCAUCUGGAGGAAAUGGCUAUAUUUGAAAAUAACACCGACUUUUUCAAAGGGUAACCGUAUAGCAAGAGCAAACUCUGUGUGAGCCUCCCUCUUCAGAUGGCUGGUCUUUCACAAUGAGAAGAGCUUGGGUGCCACAAAAUGAAGGAGGAACCAAGGCUGCCUGCAAACCUCAGGCAGCACAAAAGCCUGAUUGCUGCCACCCAGUCGAUUUAGAUUUACUGCAUUUUAAAAUUCAAAUCCAGAAGUUCCCUUGUGGUGCAGCAGGUUAAACAUCCCAGGACACUGCAGGGGCACGGGUUCAAUCCCUAGCCCAAGAACUUCCACAUGCCAUGGGUGUGGCCAGAAAAAAAAAAAAAAAAGAUUCAAGUCCACAAAGAUGUCCGUCAUUGCUGAUUAUUAGGGAAAUGCCAAUCAAAACUACCAUGAGGCACCAUAUAACUGUUCAUCAUUCGUAAUCACCCUUUUGGUUUUUGUUUAGCUGGUUUCUUUUUUCAUUAUUUGAGAAUAAUUUCAAUAGUGGCUUCAUCAUGACAUUGUAUAUAAACCUGUCUAAUGUGUAUAUUAUGUCAUAUCUCGGUAUUUAUAGCAGAAACAUAUACUUAGUCAUAAAUAUAUACUCAGGAAAUUCCAGAGAAUAUAAAAAUUUUCAAACAUUUGUAAACAUGUGCUCUCAUUAAAAGUUUUCUCGGAGUUCCCAUCAUGGCUCAGUGGUUAACGAACCCAACUAGCAUCCAUGAGGACGCAGGUUCUAUCCCUGGCCUCCCUCAGUGGGUUAAGGAUGCGGCGCUGCCUUCAGCUAUGGUGUAGGCCAGCAGCUACAGCUCUUAUUGGACCCCUAGCCUGGGAACCUGUGUAUGCUUCGAGCGUGGCCCUAAAAAGACAAAAAGACCAAAAAAAAAAAAAGUUUUCUCUGGUAUUUUAGGUGAAUAAUAUUUAUGCCACCAGAAAGCAAACGAACAAACAGAAAGACUUUAAAAAUUUACAACUAAUUCUAAUACAAAGAGGAGUCUGUUUUUGCUUGGUAAAUAUUUAUAUGCUCUAGAAGUAUUGCUUUGAGCUUUCAAAGUCUAAGGAAAGAGUAUUUUCGAAGAGAAGGCAAAUGUAGAACUAGGUAAAAAGAAUGACUUGGGAAAUUAUGUGGCUUCUGCAAGUUUUCCUGCACAUUUUUUCCUAUUAACUAGAUUUCUCCAUAAAGGCUUUUUUUUUUUUUCCCGCUCUUUAUAGAAGAAAUACUUGUCUUGACACGCACGAUAUAUGACAGAUAUUUUCAGAUAUCAAUAAAUGAGCUCUAAGUAGCCA
rnacentral:lncRNA from 1 species